AUGAACGCUGGCGGCGUGCUUAACACAUGCAAGUCGAACGAAGCACUUUAUUUGAUUUCCUUCGGGACUGAUUAUUUUGUGACUGAGUGGCGGACGGGUGAGUAACGCGUGGGUAACCUGCCUUGUACAGGGGGAUAACAGUUGGAAACGGCUGCUAAUACCGCAUAAGCGCACGGCAUCGCAUGAUGCAGUGUGAAAAACUCCGGUGGUAUAAGAUGGACCCGCGUUGGAUUAGCUAGUUGGUGAGGUAACGGCCCACCAAGGCGACGAUCCAUAGCCGACCUGAGAGGGUGACCGGCCACAUUGGGACUGAGACACGGCCCAAACUCCUACGGGAGGCAGCAGUGGGGAAUAUUGCACAAUGGGCGAAAGCCUGAUGCAGCGACGCCGCGUGAGCGAAGAAGUAUUUCGGUAUGUAAAGCUCUAUCAGCAGGGAAGAUAAUGACGGUACCUGACUAAGAAGCACCGGCUAAAUACGUGCCAGCAGCCGCGGUAAUACGUAUGGUGCAAGCGUUAUCCGGAUUUACUGGGUGUAAAGGGAGCGCAGGCGGUGCGGCAAGUCUGAUGUGAAAGCCCGGGGCUCAACCCCGGUACUGCAUUGGAAACUGUCGUACUAGAGUGUCGGAGGGGUAAGCGGAAUUCCUAGUGUAGCGGUGAAAUGCGUAGAUAUUAGGAGGAACACCAGUGGCGAAGGCGGCUUACUGGACGAUAACUGACGCUGAGGCUCGAAAGCGUGGGGAGCAAACAGGAUUAGAUACCCUGGUAGUCCGCGCCGUAAACGAUGAAUACUAGGUGUUGGGGAGCAUUGCUUCUCGGUGCCGUCGCAAACGCAGUAAGUAUUCCACCUGGGGAGUACGUUCGCAAGAAUGAAACUCAAAGGAAUUGACGGGGGCCCGCACAAGCGGUGGAGCAUGUGGUUUAAUUCGAAGCAACGCGAAGAACCUUACCAGGUCUUGACAUCGAUCUAAAGGCUCCAGAGAUGGAGAGAUAGCUAUAGAGAAGACAGGUGGUGCAUGGUUGUCGUCAGCUCGUGUCGUGAGAUGUUGGGUUAAGUCCCGCAACGAGCGCAACCCUUAUCUUUAGUAGCCAGCGGUCAGGCCGGGCACUCUAGAGAGACUGCCAGGGAUAACCUGGAGGAAGGCGGGGAUGACGUCAAAUCAUCAUGCCCCUUAUGACUUGGGCUACACACGUGCUACAAUGGCGUAAACAAAGGGAAGCAAAGCUGUGAAGCCGAGCAAAUCUCAAAAAUAACGUCUCAGUUCGGACUGUAGUCUGCAACCCGACUACACGAAGCUGGAAUCGCUAGUAAUCGCAGAUCAGAAUGCUGCGGUGAAUACGUUCCCGGGUCUUGUACACACCGCCCGUCACACCAUGGGAGUUGGGAAUGCCCGAAGCCAGUGACCUAACCGAAAGGAAGGAGCUGUCGAAGGCAGGCUCGAUAACUGGGGUG
rnacentral:rRNA from 1 species